rnacentral:rRNA from 1 species
GUGAGGAAUUUUCCGCAAUGGGCGAAAGCCUGACGGAGCAAUGCCGCGUGAAGGAUGAAGGCCUAUGGGUUGUAAACUUCUUUUCUUAGAGAAGAAUAUUGACGGUAUCUGAGGAAUAAGCAUCGGCUAACUCUGUGCCAGCAGCCGCGGUAAGACAGAGGAUGCAAGCGUUAUCCGGAAUGAUUGGGCGUAAAGCGUCUGUAGGUGGCUUCAAAAGUCUCCUGUCAAAGAUCAGGGCUUAACCCUGGGCCGGCAGGAGAAACUCUGAGGCUAGAGUUUGGUAGGGGCAGAGGGAAGCCCCGGUGGAGCGGUGAGAUGCGUAGAGAUCGGGAGGAACACCAAGGGCGAAAGCACUCUGCUGGGCCACAACUGACACUGAGAGACGAAAGCGAGGGGAGCAAAAGGGAUUAGAAACCCUGGUAGUCC